rnacentral:rRNA from 1 species
UGGAAUUCCUGGUGGAGCGGUGGAAUGCGCAGAUAUCAGGAGGAACACCAGUGGCGAAGGCGGUUCUCUGGGCCUUUCCUGACGCUGAGGAGCGAAAGCAUGGGGAGCGAACAGGAUUAGAUACCCUGGUAGUCCAUGCCGUAAACGUUGGGCACUAGGUGUGGGGACCAUUCCACGGUUUCCGCGCCGCAGCUAACGCAUUAAGUGCCCCGCCUGGGGAGUACGGCCGCAAGGCUAAAACUCAAAGGAAUUGACGGGGGCCCGCACAAGCGGCGGAGCAUGCGGAUUAAUUCGAUGCAACGCGAAGAACCUUACCAAGGCUUGACAUGUUCUCGAUCGCCGUAGAGAUACGGUUUCCCCUUUGGGGCGGGAUCACAGGUGGUGCAUGGUUGUCGUCAGCUCGUGUCGUGAGAUGUUGGGUUAAGUCCCGCAACGAGCGCAACCCUCGUUCCAUGUUGCCAGCACGUAAUGGUGGGGACUCAUGGGAGACUGCCGGGGUCAACUCGGAGGAAGGUGGGGACGACGUCAAAUCAUCAUGCCCCUUAUGUCUUGGGCUUCACGCAUGCUACAAUGGCCGGUACAAUGGGUUGCGAUACUGUGAGGUGGAGCUAAUCCCAAAAAGCCGGUCUCAGUUCGGAUUGGGGUCUGCAACUCGACCCCAUGAAGUCGGAGUCGCUAGUAAUCGCAGAUCAGCAACGCUGCGGUGAAUACGUUCCCGGGCCUUGUACACACCGCC